rnacentral:rRNA from 1 species
AGUUUGAUCCUGGCUCAGAUUGAACGCUGGCGGCAGGCCUAACACAUGCAAGCCGAACGGUAACAGGAAGAAGCUUGCUUCUUUGCUGACGAGUGGCGGACGGGUGAGUAAUGUCUGGGAAACUGCCUGAUGGAGGGGGAUAACUACUGGAAACGGUAGCUAAUACCGCAUAACGUCGCAAGACCAAAGAGGGGGGACCUUCGGGCCUCUUGCCAUCGGAUGUGCCCAGAUGGGAUUAGCUAGUAGGUGGGGUAACGGCUCACCUAGGCGACGAUCCCUAGCUGGUCUGAGAGGAUGACCAGCCACACUGGAACUGAGACACGGUCCAGACUCCUACGGGAGGCAGCAGUGGGGAAUAUUGCACAAUGGGCGCAAGCCUGAUGCAGCCAUGCCGCGUGUAUGAAGAAGGCCUUCGGGUUGUAAAGUACUUUCAGCGGGGAGGAAGGGAGUAAAGUUAAUACCUUUGCUCAUUGACGUUACCCGCAGAAGAAGCACCGGCUAACUCCGUG